UAUUCUGCCCUACGGGGAAGGAUGAGAAGCUUCGACUAAGGUUCGACUCGAGCGUCAGCGAGAGAACGUUGCCGCAGGCAACGGCCCGAAGGGCGAGGCGCUUUAGCGCCGAGUAAUCCUUCCCCCACCACCA
rnacentral:sRNA from 1 species